CCUACGGGAGGCAGCAGUGGGGAAUAUUGGACAAUGGGGGCAACCCUGAUCCAGCGACGCCGCGUGUGUGAAGAAGGCCUGCGGGUUGUAAAGCACUUUUAGUGGGGAGGAAGGUCUGCGACCUAACACGUCGUGGAAUUGACUUAACCCACAGAAAAAGCCACCGGCUAACUCUGUGCC
rnacentral:rRNA from 1 species